GUCAUAGUUACAGAGCAUGCCAAUCAUGCCAGGGACCACCUGAAGACAGAGGCGGAGUUAAAGAAAUAUGAUGGAGUGGUGUGUGUGGGCGGGGACGGCAUGUUCAGCGAGAUAGUUCACGGCCUGGUCUCGAACACAGGGAUAACGGAGUGGACCAGAACAGCCCGGAGGAGAAGCUGGUACCCUGUAGUCUCCGCAUUGGCAUUAUAUCCGCAGGUUCAACGGACUGCAUCUGCUAUGCCACUGCCGGCAUCAAUGACCCUGUGACCUCAGCUUUACAUGUCAUAGUGGGAGACUUCCAGCCAAUGGACUUGUGCUCGGUCCAUCACAACACAUUCUUGAGGUAUUCCAUCUCCCUGCUUGGAUACGGUUUCUCUGGUGACGUGCUGGCAGACAGCGAGAGGAAACGCUGGAUGGGACCAGCCAGAUAUGACUUU